rnacentral:rRNA from 1 species
AUUGAACGCUGGCGGCAUGCUUUACACAUGCAAGUCGAACGGCAGCGCGGGCUUCGGUCUCGCGGCGAGUGGCGAACGGGUGAGUAAUGCAUCGGAACGUGCCCAGUAGUGGGGGAUAGCCCGGCGAAAGCCGGAUUAAUACCGCAUACGACCUGAGGGCGAAAGCGGGGGACCGAAAGGCCUUGCGCCAUUGGAGCGGCCGAUGUCGGAUUAGCUAGUUGGUGGGGUAAAGGCUUACCAAGGCGACGAUCCGUAGCUGGUCUGAGAGGACGACCAGCCACACUGGGACUGAGACACGGCCCAGACUCCUACGGGAGGCAGCAGUGGGGAAUUUUGGACAAUGGGGGCAACCCUGAUCCAGCCAUGCCGCGUGCGGGAAGAAGGCCUUCGGGUUGUAAACCGCUUUUGUUCGGGAAGAAAUCCUCUGGGCUAAUACCCCGGGGGGAUGACGGUACCGGAAGAAUAAGCACCGGCUAACUACGUG